AACGAACGCUGGCGGCAGGCUUAACACAUGCAAGUCGAACGCCACGCAAGGGGAGUGGCAGACGGGUGAGUAACGGGUGGGAACAUACCAUUUCCUGCGGAAUAGCACCGGGAAACAGCAAUCAAUACCGGAAGUGCCUAUCGGGGGAAAGAUUUAUCGCCAAAGGAUAGGACCGCGUCUGAUUAGGUAGUUGGUGAGGUAACGGCUCACCAAGCCGACGAUCAGUAGCUGGUCUGAGAGGAUGAUCAGCCACACUGGGACUGAGACACGGCCCAGACUCCUACGGGAGGCAGCAGUGGGGAAUAUUGGACAAUGGGGGCAACCCUGAUCCAGCCAUGCCGCGUGAGUGAUGAAGGCCUUAGGGUUGUAAAGCUCUUUCGCUAGGGAAGAUAAUGACGGUACCUAGGGAAGAAGCCCCGGCUAACUUCGUGCCAGCCGCCGCAGUAACAC
rnacentral:rRNA from 1 species